GGCCUCGUAGCUCAGUUGGCUAGAGCGUUGGCUGUACUGAAGCCUUCUCCUCGACGGCGUGGGUUUAAAUCUCACCGAGGCCG
rnacentral:tRNA from 1 species